CAACAAUGUUAUUCUUAGAAUCACAGAAGUUUGAACAAAUGUAUAUAUGAAAACUUUAUAUAAAAAUACAAUCAUAGGCCUAUGGGCUAAACAAAUCAAAUGCCUAGGCCAAACAAAUCAAAUCUAUGCCUAUAUUUUUUCUUAUAUUAUUUCAUUCAAAACAGUGUUCUAUUUCAGACGCUAAAAUGAAGCACGGUGUCGAGCCCGUGCUUGUUGAUGUGUUGCGCGGUCAUUUGAUUACUUUGGCAUGCCUUCACAUCAAAGUGCCUCUACUGUAGACUAGAUCUAAUGAAUUUAAUCCAUUGAAUGAAAAAUAUUCCAUAAAUACCGACAACAAUUCUCACACCUUUUCUGAUCAAGGAAGAAGAUUAUUGGAGUUUAAGGUGCAGAUACAGUCCAAAAUUAAGGUUGCCUACAACAGGGUUUCCCCAACUCCCCUUUGAUUCUUUGAAUCAGCUAUGUAGUGCUACUGCAAAAACCAAAAUGUGCACCAAGGGAGGACCCCAGGACUGAAAACCCUGGUCUGUUGGACACCUGGGUCCACAGGAUGAAUAGCCAAGCAGGCAGUGAUGUGGAACCUGGAGGAUGGGCCAUACCAGGCGGCCCUGCGCCACAGCACCGCAGCCUUCAGGUUAUGUUACAUUGAUAAUGUCACAGCUUCAGGAGCGCCACAGCCCACAGUACAGGACAAAGCUCGGAAUCCAAUUAUCCUCCCUAUAAUUUGUGGGAAUUUUACG
rnacentral:lncRNA from 1 species